AUAGAUACUCUUCAUAACAAGUUACAAAAUUGCAUUGAUAGUGUGCACCUCCACUCAUUAACUACUUGAACUACUAUGCUUCCAAACUUUUAACUUCAAAUCCCAUAUUCCAGACCAAAAAAGGCUAAAAUCCAUAGUGGAGCCCAUAUUUUAUUAUGUAGGCUUUUUCUCCAUGAAGGAAAUUAAGGCAAGUGUAUAGAAGUAGAAGGGGACCCUGUUAAGAAAGAGAAGCACCUAAUUCCUCUGUUGGUACAAGAAAUGGCAGGCUGGGAAAUACUGGUGAUUAGAAGCAAGGGUGAAGCUACCGGCCGAGCACAAAGAAGAUGUUAAUUUAAACCCCUUUAUCCAAAAAAUACGUCAGUAUAUAGCAGGUUAACAUUAAAUUUUAUGUAUAUAUAGUACUAAUUCUCUUGAUUUUUUUAUAUAUUUACUUGAGAUUUUAAAUUU